rnacentral:rRNA from 1 species
GACGAACGCUGGCGGCGUGCUUAACACAUGCAAGUCGAACGGAAAGGCCCCUUUGGGGGUACUCGAGUGGCGCACGGGUGAGUAACACGUGAGUAACCUGCCCUUGACUUCGGGUUAACUUCAGGAAACUGGGGCUAAUACCGGAAAGGAAUCCUUGCUGCAUGGUGGGGGUUGGAAAGCUUCGGCGGUUUUGGAUGGACUCGCGGCUUGUCAGCUUGUUGGUGGGGUAGUGGCUUACCAAGGCUUUGACGGGUAGCCGGCCUGAGAGGGCGACCGGCCACAUUGGGACUGAGAUACGGCCCAGACUCCUACGGGAGGCAGCAGUGGGGAAUAUUGCACAAUGGGCGGAAGCCUGAUGCAGCAACGCCGCGUGCGGGAUGACGGCCUUCGUGUUGUAAACCGCUUUCAGCAGGGGCGAAGCUUGUGGUGACGGUACCUGCAGAAGAAGCACCGGCUAACUACGUG